rnacentral:rRNA from 1 species
GACGAACGCUGGCGGCGUGCCUAAUACAUGCAAGUCGAGCGCAGGAAAUCGACGGAACCCUUCGGGGGGAAGUCGAUGGAAUGAGCGGCGGACGGGUGAGUAACACGUAAAGAACCUGCCCUCAGGUCUGGGAUAACCACGAGAAAUCGGGGCUAAUACCGGAUGGGUCAUCGGACCGCAUGGUCCGAGGAUGAAAGGCGCUUCGGCGUCGCCUGGGGAUGGCUUUGCGGUGCAUUAGCUAGUUGGUGGGGUAAUGGCCCACCAAGGCGACGAUGCAUAGCCGACCUGAGAGGGUGAUCGGCCACACUGGGACUGAGACACGGCCCAGACUCCUACGGGAGGAAGCAGUAGGGAAUCUUCCACAAUGGACGAAAGUCUGAUGGAGCAGCGCCGCGUGAACGAUGAAGGCCUUCGGGUCGUAAAGUUCUGUUGUAAGGGAAGAACAAGUGCCGCAGGCAAUGGCGGCACCUUGACGGUACCUUGCGAGAAAGCCACGGCUAACUACGUGCCAGCAGCCGCGGUAAAAC